ncrna:unclassified sequences pemK RNA
UUAAAGAUACUCCUGCCUAGCCACAGAAACAAGCAAUGGGGGCAGCCCGGAGAGAACCUCGGGGAGGUGAAAUUCCUGUGA